CUUAUCAAGAAAGGCGGAGGGACAGGCCCUGUGAAGCCUUGGCAACCUUUUCAAAAGAAAGCGGUGCCAAAUCCUGUUUUCGAUACAAUCGAAAUGAAGAUAA
rnacentral:ncRNA from 1 species